AUUGAACGCUGGCGGCAUGCCUUACACAUGCAAGUCGAACGGCAGCACGGGAGCAAUCCUGGUGGCGAGUGGCGAACGGGUGAGUAAUAUAUCGGAACGUGCCCAGUCGUGGGGGAUAACGCAGCGAAAGCUGUGCUAAUACCGCAUACGAUCUACGGAUGAAAGCGGGGGAUCGCAAGACCUCGCGCGAUUGGAGCGGCCGAUAUCAGAUUAGCUAGUUGGGGAGGUAAAGGCUCACCAAGGCGACGAUCUGUAGCUGGUCUGAGAGGACGACCAGCCACACUGGAACUGGGACACGGUCCAGACUCCUACGGGAGGCAGCAGUGGGGAAUUUUGGACAAUGGGCGAAAGCCUGAUCCAGCAAUGCCGCGUGCAGGAUGAAGGCCUUCGGGUUGUAAACUGCUUUUGUACGGAACGAAACGGUGAGCUCUAAUACAGUUUGCUAAUGACGGUACCGUAAGAAUAAGCACCGGCUAACUACGUGCCAGCCGCCGCGGUAA
rnacentral:rRNA from 1 species